rnacentral:lncRNA from 1 species
UCGGAUGGUAUUGUCACCUAUAGUCCUCUACAUAGGUCCAACUGUGCCGGGACGUAGAAUGGGUCAACCGGUCUUUCCCUUAUCAUAACAUAUCAUAUGGACCAACUGUGCCAGGGACGUAGAAUGGGUACAACCUGGACUUUCUCUUACAUCGUGCCAGGGACGUAGAAUGGGUACAACCUGGACUUCCAUACCAUAACAUGCCAUAACAUCAAUCAUAUCAUAGGAGGACUAAAGGAUCAUCCAAUAACCAAUCCACAUCAACAUAGACAUCAUAAAUGCAAUGCAACAUAUUCGUGAAUACUAAUGCAAGCAACCUAUUAUAUCUCAUGGCAUUCAUGAUGCAUGGAUCAUGCUCAAAAUUCAUCUUUCAUUUAUUUAAAACUUAAGGUUUAUUCCACUCAC